CUGGAGGUCAGGUCGGGGAGACGGGCAUCCAUUCCCGAAAUUACAUAGCAGGGCCUGGAGACAGGAGAUGCCGCCGGCCAGACCACCAUCAGUCACUAAUGAGGGACGGGCACUCAGAACUGCCCAGUUUCUGAGUUACAGAAGCCGGGGGUGCGGGGCUGCCAGACUAGUAAAACUGACCUUGUUGGCGGAAUCGCUCACGGCUUUUCUGUUGAUGAACAGAGUCCAGCUCUCCCACGGGUGGCUGUGAUCCUUCUUCCUGGGGAGUCCUGCUGUCCCUGACUAGGGGCACCUGCCCACCUGUCAGCUGCUCCUCCCUCGGCUGGUCCUCCUGGGCUCUGAUGGCCCCAACAUUUCUAGCUCUUCUCACCCAUAGUGCCCCGAGCUUCAUGCAGCUGCAGCAGCAGCAUGAACAGACUGAGAUAGCGGCUUACAUGUAACCGGAAGCUGCAGAAAAACAUCUUCAGACAGCUGAGACGGCUCCCAGGACUCAUGCCUGGCACAGACACCAUCUGCCUGGCAGGGCAAAGAAAGGCGUCUAUGAGUGUGGGAGGAUUCCGAGUCUAACACCCUGAGCCCAGCCAGGAAGGGGCCAGGAAGGCCUCCUCGUGAACAACGAAUGAAACAGAACCCAGAUCUCAGACAGGGCGGGGAAGGGGAGGGGUACCAUGUCAAGCAGCACUCUGUAUUUUCGACAGGAAAUGCUGCUGCAAGGAAUUCAUCCGUAGGCUAGCACUACAACCUGGAGGCAGGGAGCAGUGAGGAGUGGAAAUCUUCCCAUCAGAAGUGAAGAAGGCUGGAUACGGUGGCUCACACCAGUAAUCCCAGCACUUUGGGAGGCAAAGGCAGGAGGAUCACUUGAGCCCAGGAGUUUGAGACCAGCCUAGGCAACUUAGCAAGACCUUGUCUUCAAAAAAAAAAAAAAAUUUUACAAGGAACUACACAGAUGGCAAAACUUAAAAAAAAAAAAAAAGUGGGAAGAGGGGAGAAAGGGAGAUCAAUGUCUUCUACAGAUUUCAUCUUGUCGGGUGGAGAGUGUGAGGAGUAGAGCCAUGUGGUGGGAAACUGUUGGUGUCUUGUUUGCGAAUGACUUUGGAACAAAGACCACCUGAUAAGCACAGUUAAGGAAUGAAAACACACAGGGACUUCCCAGGGAGCCAGGAGGACACUGGGGGAGCAUGAACACCUGCCUUUCCCAUGGGGCCCUGGUGUGCCCAGCCCCCCACUUCAUGUCUGACCCACGUGCUCUCUGGCUGACCUCCUGGGACUCGCACCCGGCCCCCACUUGGUAUCUGAGCCAUGUACUUCCCGGCUGACCUCCCGCAACGUGAAGACUACUCUCGCUCCCUUCAAGGCCACUGUCCCCACCGCAGCCAGAGAGGUGUUUUAUAGUUCAAAUCCUGCCCAGGCACCAUCUUGCCUAAAGGCAGCCCUGAGCCGGAAUCUGUGUGCUUUGCUGAUGGGACUGUAAAAUGGCGCAGUCACUUUUGAAACAGUCUGACAGUUCCUCAAAAGCUUAAACAUAGACUUACCACAUACCCAGCAAUUCCACGCCCAGGCUCUGCCCCAGGAGAAUUGAAAACAUCUAUCCACACGGAAACUUGUACACAAAUGUUCACAGUUGCACUAUUUAUCAUCAUCAGGAUGCCUAUAAUUGAUGAACAGAUGAACAAAUUGUGCUAUAUCCAUAUAAUUAAAUAUUAUUCAGUCAUAAGAAUGAGGCCGGG
rnacentral:lncRNA from 1 species